CAGUAGAUAGUUUAUUAAAAUAUUAAUUUUGGGGAUUAAUGAUGAGGAUUGAAUUCCUUUCUGCUGA
rnacentral:tRNA from 1 species